UCCCUGAGACCCUUAACCUGUGAGGAAAAUGAGAAGUCACAGGUGAGGCACUCGGGAACU
rnacentral:pre_miRNA from 1 species